GUGGUAGAUUAUUAUAAACCCAGUUGGUAGGUCAGGUGGUAGUUUAUUAUAAACCCAGUUGGUAGGUCAGGUGGUAGUUUAUUAUAAACCCAGUUGGUAGGUCAGGUGGUAGUUUAUUAUAAACCCAGUUGGUAGGUCAGGUGGUAGUUUAUUAUAAACCCAGUUGGUAGGUCAGGUGGUAGUUUAUUAUAAACCCAGUUGGUAGGUCAGGUGGUAGAUUAUUAUAAACCCAGUUGGUAGGUCAGGUGGUAGUUUAUUAUAAACCCAGUUGGUAGGUCAGGUGGUAGAUUAUUAUAAACCCAGUUGGUAGGUCAGGUGGUAGUUUAUUAUAAACCCAGUUGGUAGGUCAGGUGGUAGGUCAGGUGGUAGUUUAUUAUAAACCCAGUUGGUAGGUCAGGUGGUAGGUCAGGUGGUAGUUUAUUAUAAACCCAGUUGGUAGGUCAGGUGGUAGGUCAGGUGGUAGUUUAUUAUAAACCCAGUUGGUAGGUCAGGUGGUAGGUCAGGUGGUAGUUUAUUAUAAACCCAGUUGGUAGGUCAGGUGGUAGGUCAGGUGGUAGUUUAUUAUAAACCCAGUUGGUAGGUCAGGUGGUAGGUCAGGUGGUAGUUUAUUAUAAACCCAGUUGGUAGGUCAGGUGGUAGGUCAGGUGGUAGUUUAUUAUAAACCCAGUUGGUAGGUCAGGUGGUAGGUCAUGGCUGUGCUGGGUUUAGGAGUAACCCCUGUAGUCUCUGCUCUGUUAGCAACACAUGGAGUAAGAUAAUUCAACGUGCAACAAUUUCCCCAUAGAGUUUAAACUGCAAACAUUUUCAUUCUUCCUCUUUUCUUCAUCAGAGUCUUCGUCAUCAUCAUCUCACAUUUCGUUGGCAUCAUAGAGUCAGUGAUGAAAUUUUGGUGUAUAUAUAUAUAUAUAUAUAUAUAUAUAUAUAUAUAUGUGGUAUGUGUAGAUAGGUAGGUAGUUAGUUCUAGUGUCUGGUCUCCUCUCCAGAGUCAAAGUCUUUUGUUUCCAUAGUGUUGAUAGGUUGAUAUCACGUUGUGACGUCGUAUUGUUUUGUACAAUAAACGUCCCAGCAACACUUGAAACACACAAAGCUCCUUCUCCCACCUACCUAUAGCGAGUCGGCGUAUCAAGCCAACAUGGCAACCCUGGUGGGUGUGGCUCUUCCUGUCUUGUUGCCGGGGUAAGGUCCAUCCUGCUGACUUGUGGGUUAGGGCUAGGUUCAGGUAAUCUGGUGUUAUACCAUUGGACAAAACACCAGUCUUACACUCAACUAUAACUGAGUUUAUCAGGGUGUUAAUCUGGUUAUUCUGAUUUUGUCUCUGUAUGACAGAAGACAAGCAUUCUCUCGGUUCUUUCCUAUUCUGACCAGCCGCCCUCACCUCUCUGACCCUGCUCCCCCUCCUCUCUCUGACCC